AUGGGAAAGCCUAGAGAUCUCUUCAAGAAAAUGAGAGAUACCAAGGGAACAUUUCAUGCAAAGAUGGGCUCGAUAAAGGACAGAAAUGGUAUAGACCUAACAGAAGCAGAAGAUAUUACGAAAAAGUGGCAGAAAUACACAAAAGAACUGUAUAAAAAAGAGCUCCAUGACCCAGAUAAUCACAAUGGUGUGAUCACUCACCCAGAGCCAGACAUCCUGGAAUGUGAAGUCAAGUGGGCCUUAGAAAGUAUCACUACGAACAAAGCUAGUGGAGGUGAUGGAAUUCUAGUUGAGCUAUUUCAAAUCCUAAAAGAUGAUGCUGUGAAAAUGCUGCACUCAAUAUGCCAGCAAAUUUGGAAAACUCAGCAGUGGCCACAGGACUGGAAAAGGUCAGUUUUCAUUCCAAUCCCAAAGAAAGGCAAUGCCAAAGAAUGCUCAAACUACCUCACAAUUGCACUCAUCUCACACGUUAGUAAAGUAAUGCUCAAAAUUCUCCAAGCCAGGCUUCAGCAAUAUGUGAACCGUGAACUUCCAGAUGUUCAAGCUGGUUUUAGAAAAGGCAGAGGAACCAGAGAUCAAAUUGCCAACAUUUCCUGGAUCAUCGAAAAAGCAAGAGAGUUCCAGGAAAACAUCUAUUUCUGCUUUAUUGACUAUGCCAAAACCUUUGACUGUGUGGAUCACAAUAAACUGUGGAAAAUUCUGAAAGAGAUGGGAAUACCAGACCACCUGACCUGCCUCUUGAGAAACCUGUAUGCAGGUCAGGAAGCAACAAUUAGAACUGGACAUGGAACAACAGACUGGUUCCAAAUAGGAAAAGGAGUACAUCAAGGUUGUAUAUUGUCACCCUGCUUAUUUAACUUCUAUGCAGAGUACAUCAUGAGAAAUGCUGGGCUGGAAGAAGCACAAGCUGGAAUCAAGAUUGCCAGGAGAACUAUCAGUAACCUCAGAUAUGCAGGUGACACCACCCUUAUGGCAGAAAGUGAAGAGGAACUCAAAAGCCUCUUGAUGAAAGUGAAAGAGGAGAGUGAAAAAGUGGGCUUAAAGCUCAACAUUCAGAAAACGAAGAUCAUGGCAUCUGGUCCCAUCACUUCAUGGGAAAUAGAUGGGGAAACAGUGGAAACAGUGUCAGACUUUAUUUGGGGGGCUCCAAAAUCACUGCAGAUGGUGACUACAGCCAUGAAAUUAGAAAGACGCUUACUCCUUAGAAGAAAAGUUAUGACCAACCUAGAUAUCAUAUUAAAAAGCAGAGAUAUUACUUUGCCAACAAAGGUCCAUUUAGUCAAGACUAUAGUUUUUCCUGUGGUCAUGUAUGGAUGUUGGAAUUGGACUGUGAAGAAAGUCAAGCACCAAAGAAUUGAUGCUUUUGAACUGUGGUGUUGGAGAAGACUCUUGCGAGUCCCUUGGACUGCAAGGAGACUCAAUCAGCGCAUCCUAAGGUAG
rnacentral:lncRNA from 1 species